rnacentral:misc_RNA from 1 species
GAUGAAGAACGCAGCAAAAUGCGAUACUUGGUGUGAAUUGCAGAAUCCCGUGAACCAUCGAGUCUUUGAACGCAAGUUGCGCCUCAAGCCAUUAGGUUGAGGGCACGUCUGCCUGGGCGUCACAUAUCGUUGCCUGAUGCCAGUUUCCUCGUGAUGGGUGACUGUGCAGGGCGAAUGAUGGCUUCCCGUGAGCAUUGUUGCCUCAUGGUUGGUUGAAAAUCGAGUGCAUGGUGUCGGGUGUACCAUGAUGGAUGGUGGUUGAGUGAUGAUGCUCGAGACCAAUCAUGGGUAACUCCACCAGAAUUGGGCUCGGUGACCCACAUGCGUCCCUUGGAUGCUCCCUAAGGAGACCUCAGGUCAGGCGGGGCUACCCGCUGAGUUUAAGCAUAUCAAUAAGCGGAGGA